UCUAAUGUGGCAGAUUAGUGCAAUGGGUUUAAACCUCAUACAAGAAAUUAAUGUUUCUUUUAGAA
rnacentral:tRNA from 1 species